CCCGGGCAGCUGUCAGAGGCGGCGGCGGCGGCGGCCGGUCCCGCAGGCAGGCGGCUGGGGCGGCGGCGGCGGCGGCGGGAUGCGGCGCUGAGCGCGCACCGGCGGUCACUCCGCGCGGGCUCCUGCGCGCCGCGGUUUGCCUCCCGCAGCCCAUGAUGUGUCUGGAAAGCGACGGCUCCUCCGGCAGCAGCCCGGGCUGCGGCGGGCGGCUGCGAGCCGGCGACGAGGAAGAGGAGGAGGACGGCGAGCGGGGCUGCUGCGGCCGGGGCGCCGAGGGCGAGGUGCAGACCCUGUCCGGCAGGAUGAACCCGCCGGCGGCCGGCAAGCACCCCGAGCGCCCGGCCGCCCGCCACAAGGCGCCGAGCCUCGGCCGGGCCCGGGUGGCGGCCGCCGGCAUCCUCAGCGUGGGCAACGUGCUCAACUACCUGGACCGGUACACGGUGGCAGGUGUGUUACUAGACAUCCAGCAGCACUUUGGAGUCAAAGACAGUGGGGCUGGCUUAUUACAGACAGUUUUCAUAUGUAGUUUCAUGGUUGCGGCACCUAUCUUUGGUUACCUUGGUGACCGUUUCAACAGAAAGAUCAUUCUCAGCUGUGGGAUCUUCUUUUGGUCAGCUGUCACUUUUUCAAGCUCCUUCAUCACUGAACAGUAUUUCUGGCUUCUUGUGCUCUCACGAGGUUUGGUUGGUAUCGGUGAAGCAAGUUACUCCACUAUUGCACCGACCAUCAUAGGAGACCUUUUCACCAAAAACACAAGGACCCUUAUGCUGUCUGUUUUCUACUUUGCAAUUCCUCUUGGCAGUGGCUUGGGAUACAUCACUGGGUCAAGUGUGAAGCAGGUUGCUGGAGACUGGCACUGGGCGUUGCGAGUAUCUCCACUCCUGGGAAUGAUAACAGGGACACUCAUCUUGAUAUUUGUACCUGCUGCUAAAAGAGGAAAUGUUGAACAACUUGGGGGACAGCUGAAGGCUCGGACCUCAUGGCUGAGAGACAUGAAAGCACUGAUUAGAAACCGCAGCUACGUGUUCUCAUCAUUGGCCACCUCAGCUGUCUCCUUUGCCACAGGGGCGCUUGGCAUGUGGAUCCCUCUCUACCUUCACAGAGCACAGGUCGUGCAAAAGACAGCAGAGACCUGCAGCUCACAGCCCUGUGGCACCAAAGAUAGCUUGAUCUUCGGAGCAAUCACAUGCUUCACUGGUUUCCUGGGUGUAAUCACAGGGGCAGGGGCAACCAAAUGGUGCCGGUUAAAAACCCAGCGAGCUGAUCCUCUUGUCUGUGCUGUUGGCAUGCUAGGAUCAGCCAUCUUCAUCUGUCUGAUCUUCGUUGCUGCCAAGAGCAGCAUUGUGGGAGCCUAUAUUUGCAUUUUUAUCGGAGAAACUCUUCUGUUUUCAAACUGGGCUAUCACAGCAGACAUACUAAUGUAUGUGGUCAUUCCAACACGCCGUGCAACCGCAGUGGCCUUGCAGAGUUUCACUUCACACCUCCUGGGAGAUGCUGGCAGUCCUUAUCUGAUUGGAUUUAUCUCAGACCUGAUACGACAAAGCACAAAGGAGUCCCCAGUCUGGGAGUUCCUCAGCUUGGGGUAUGCACUCAUGCUCUGCCCGUUUGUCGUUGUCCUAGGAGGGAUGUUUUUCCUGGCCACAGCCCUCUUCUUCCUAAGUGACCGAGCCAAAGCUGAACAACAUAAAGAAACCGAUUCGGACCACCUCACGGUUGGCAACUACAGUAAUUCAGAAGACGCUUCCACAUGACAUACAAACUUCUGGGGGUGAAUCAACUUGUGAUGCCACCGGCCUCUGUGAAAGUCUGAGACGUUGCCAGUGAAGUAAACAACAUGUGGACUCCCGCUCCCACCACCACUACCCCAAUCUCAAGCUUGAAGCCCUUCUGUACUGGAAACCAGUGGAUCCUUCAGCUCCACGCCACCCUGGAAGGGUUAUCCAGCACCAAGUCAGUCACACCACUCCAGCCUGCGAGGUCAGGCACCAGGAGAUGAGCAGGGGAGCCUGGAACACAAGAACUUCUUGAGCAUAAGGAUGUUCACAGGUUUCUCUGAGCAUCGAAAGCAACUGUCCACUGGACCCAAAAUGUGCUACCCAAGUGAGUGACUGUAGAUUGUGUAUAUGGUUUUAGUUGUAGCCAACAAAGUCCACAUCGUUUAUAGGGCAACUUACGUCCUACUGAAUGCUGCUGUUCCGUCAGCACUCCCACACCCACAAACUGCACUAGUUGGGGACCUAUUCUGUACAUCACCUUUUCUUUAACACUGAAGGCUCAAUUCAGAUUAUUAUUUUUUAUUUAAAUAUGUCAUAAGAUGCUUUAUCUCUGCUGAAGACAUUAGAUGACAGAUAUAUAUAUAUAUAUAUUUAGAUAAACAGUUUUUAUUUAAACAUUUAAAAUCUGGAGCUGCCUGUGCAACCAUACCAGACAUGAAUAACGUCCACAACUCUCCUCAUCUCAGUGCCCUGGUAUCAGGUCCUGCAAGGGCACCGUAGGAAGACUUCCAGUGGAUGACUUGCCUGUCACCUGAGGCUGAGCAAUGGGACAGAGGAGAGAGUUUCACUGCACUGGGUAUGCUGGUGGUUGUUACAGAAAGGCCCAGAAGAACUUUGGACAGAAAUACCUAGGGGCUCUAGAGUUUGCUCAAUAUGCUAAAUUCAGCCUUGCCUAGGAGGUUCACAGGUUUUUAAAAUACCAAAAUCCAUCUGGCUGAAUUGCUUUACCUAGGGCCCGGUAGUGCAAUACUGCUGUGCCAGUGACAUCAUGCUUUGUUUACAUGCAUAUCAUAUUCCAUGUAUUGUCAGUGCUAAUUCUCCCUCUGUCAGUGUUUUCAAAGCAGGUGGCUGAUACUCUACCGUAGCUGUUUCCUUUGGAACAAUGCUUAGGUUUAAUGCAUGCCCAACCUCAUGCACAGUCCCACACUACUUUUACUGGGGUGUCACUUUUAUCUUUAUGAAGACGCAUUUGAGAUCUUUAAUGUACAAGGCCAGUGUCUGAACUGUGUUAGUCUCAAAGGCAGAAGUGUGUGUCUGUAAAGCAGAGUACCAUUUCACUAGAGUCUUGUUUCCUGCACUUGGCCUCCAGAAGCCAAAUUUAUGCUAUGUCAGCUUGAUGCUGCGACAGUGUGGAGAAGGCAGGCAAGCACAGGCCCUGAAGAAAGAGUCAGGCUUCCAGAGAACGGGCAUUGGUUCAGUGAACUCCCCACUCCCUUUUUCCCGUUUAGAUGUCUUCCACAGUUUAGAUACUCCCCUCCAGUAUAGCACGCAUCUUGAGUAGGUGAAUGCACCUCACUCUUGUGUUUAUGUUUAACAAGUGGCUGCAGUUGGGCUGCAAGUAGGGCUGAAUCAGCAAAGGAAAUGCCAAACCGGGACUGGAUGUGAGCUAAGACUGAAAGCUGGUUGUCCUGAUUGUGGCGUAAGUUUGUUCAGAGACACAGGAAUGUACUGUUAGUAGAUCUGGGGUUUAUCUCCCAUUUGUUUCCAGGAUGUGCUAGGACCUACAGUACAGCAUUGUAGUAGAGAUGGUUGGUAAUUCCAGGAACCAGCGAACUGGUUAGUACUCACCACAUAGCCACCACAUCUCUGCCCAGGCAGAUGGGUUCUGAGGGUGACUCCUGUAACAAUGUGAGCCUCUUCUCCUCAUCAGACUCCACAGGACUCUUCUGCAAAGGUUGCUCUGUCACCUAAAAUACCUUAAAAAUAGCUUUAAGACUUCGCUAAACAACAAGAGCCAGAAGUUUUCCUUGAGUGCCUGGGCAUCCUCUGGAGAACAACAAGCAGGUGCUAGAAAUAAUAAAGCAAAGCAAAUCCAAAACAAUGCUUCAUUUCCCACCUCAUGCCACUAUUUACAUUCAUAGGGGAAAUACCACCUCUGUAGUCUAUGGGCCAAACACUUGGCUUUAAAGGCACAUGAAUUUCUGAUUCCCAUUAAGAAAUUCCUUGUUAAGCUGUUUAAAAAGAAACAAAAAGCAACCCACCAAUCAGUCAUUUCAUCUCAGAGACCAAAGAAGAUUAGCCCCAUUUCCUAAAUUGCUUUUCUGAUAGGCUCUCUCUGUUGUACCAUUUACUGUCAACAAAAUGAAGCAUUCCUGCUAAAGUUCAGAGAUGAGGAAUUGUCCUUAAACUUAAUUCUCAGGAGUCAACAAUGGAAAGGGAACUUAAGUGUUUUGUAAUUUCACUAGCUCUCCUUGUUCCUGACAUGCCGCAAUCCUUGUUAGAGAAGCACAGCGGUGUUACAGGAGGCCAGCUUUAUCUUCUGUGCGAAUGAAGGAAAUUGCUGUGGCUUCCUUUUUAACGAGGGAAGAGGAAAGGAAAGGAAAGGGAGCAAGCAAGGGAGUGAGAAGUGAGUCCUACCUGGAGCAGUUACACACCAAGGGAUCCCUGAAUCAUGUUCCAGGCUAAGAGAGGGAAGCCAAAGCAGCAGCUAUGACAGCUCAGAGGAGAUGAACAGAAAGGAAACUCAGCCUUUCCACCUCCUGCGGACGCUGCUGCUCCUUUACAUGUUGAUGACCCAUAUUUGAACAGCCAGAAGCUGAAAGGCUGCGUUUCUUCUUGCGUGCUUCUUGGUUUAGCUGUGAAGAAUUGUUCACUUAGCGCUUCUAUAAAGGUAUUUGGUCUGUUAGAGGGAAACCAGUCCAUAGAUUAAGGCAAUAACAGGUACAUCAAGUCUGGACAUGAAACAUAUGUAUUACCGAACAGAAACUGGACCUAUGUUGCCAUAUAAGCCCCUUCCCUGGAUUCUAACAUUCUAACAUUCCUGUCCCAGGACAUCAGCCCAUUUCUGUCAGUACGUGACUUGGGGAAAGUCACUGCCUAGCCUCAGUUUCUUUAUGUGCACUGCUGAGAUGCUGUAUAAACAAGCGAUGCUGUGUUUCUGUACUCUAGCAGAGGUCAGAAGUUACCCAUUAUUAAAAAAAAAGACUUACAAUGUUGUGUUAUACUGGUGCUGAACUCUGGACUUAGCAAGCAAUAUUGUGCUGGUUUCCCCUAUGAAUCUAUUGUAUGUAGGUAUAUAUGUAACCAGGCUUGGAAGCUGUUAGGGCCAUUUGGUUGUUGACUUUGUGGAGCAGUGGAAUAAUUUUUGGUAUACACAUAGGAAGUGUUUCUGGAAUGAGAAUAGAAGUCUAGACUGAAUGCAUAUUACUUAUAUCCAAGAUGAGUAAGAACUCUCAUUAAAGUUAGUAUUUCUGUUUUUAUAAAGAAAGGCUGUUAAUAGGAAAAGAGAAUUAGUUUUUAAUAAAGAAUCCAUGUAUUUUAGUAUCCAUCACACCAAGUGGAGCAAGAUUCCAGCCUGUCACUUAAAUAAGUAGUUGUUCAGGUCAUCAAGGUUAUGUUUGUGGUUCUAAACUUUGACACAAAAUUAAAUAGUCCCAGUAAGGACAGAAAUACCUUUAAAAGCCACCGAUCUCAGCACAUACACAUCUCCUCAGGACAGGGAGCCAAGCCGAGGGGAAAGGGCUCCAGGUUAUCGGCUGGUGCUGCUGUGUCUUGCCCCCACUCCCUGGUACCUGCUGCCUCACCCUGUUCCUCAGGGCUGCGACUGGUCCUUCCCCAGUGCUCUGCCCCCAUUCCCCACCUCUGCCCAAGGGCGAACCGUCUCAGAUGGUUUGCCGCAAGGCGCAGGCUCCUUCCAAUCUCCCCACUCUCUGUGGGACCCACAAUGUUAGAUGCAGCCUUGCUGCAUUCAUCAGUGUCCAUGCAGGGUGUCCAGAGUGCACCAGAGAGGGUCCGGGACGCCCCUCAGUUAAUCAUGAGGGCUUUCUUCUACUCCACUUCAUAAACUUUUUUUUUUUUGAGCAAUCAUUAACUCCCUCCACAGCUAAUACUGCAUUUGCACCAAUGCACCCACUACAGAAGCAAUUAGGUGGCUUGUACACAGUGAGAGGAACAGAGGGGAUGGGAACUCCACAGAGAGGCAAGAAAAUUAUUACCCAAAAAGCAGCAAGCUGCCAACCCAAGUAACUACAAUGCCUCCUGCUGCUGUCACUCACAGAGCUAGAAUCUGGGUGAACCCAAGAGCCUUCCCCCUUUUCUAGACUAGCUAAGAGAGAAUCUCAGGGUGACUAAAUCCUAAAAAAGAAUGGCUGUAACUCUGGAAAGCAGAGCUCCUCUCUGCACCCUCCAACCUAAUUGUUUUCUUCUCCAUUUGCUUUAUUGUUUGGUAAACCAGCACUUACAAUCACUUUUACUACGUGAUGUACGGGAGUAUUAGUAUAUAUUCUUGUUAUACAAGGGAGGAAUAUAAAAUAGUUUUCUGAUUUCUUUCAGAAGCAAAUGACUAUUUUAUUUUUUAAGAGCAAUUGAUUGUGAAUCUCAGAGUAUAAAAAAAAAAAGAUAAAUAAGCCAAAUAUAUACCUUUAUGUAAAUUAAGAAAUAAAAGUAUUUAAAACAUA